UUACAUUAUAAAUACGAUGGUUAAUCAGUUUAAGUUAGUGUUGGAUGCUCAGUAUUCACGCUUAUUAGUGUCAUUUAGGCUCGUUACAUUGAAGGUAGCAGUUUUUAUACGUUUUAUUAGGAAAAGUGAUACUGACGGUGAACUCUAACGCCACUUGCAUACGUUUGACUGGCGCAACCUGCAAGCGUUAACAUGGCAGAUUGAAGGAUUUGUUGAGAAGUACAAGAAAAUGAAAGACAGGGCAGCUCUUUUGAAAGGCAGUUUACAUAAGAAAGUGAUGACCUUCGAAAGAUGGUGGUGUGUUUUAACAGAUGAACUUGAUCUCUGCAUUCAGAGAUCUGUGGAGAACAAGUCCUUUGAAGCUGAAAGCUCACCUUUGAACAUAUAGGCCGCCCGCUGUGGCCGAGCGGUUCUAAGCGCUUCAGUCCGGAACCACGCAGCUGCUAUGGUCGCAGGUUCGAAUCCUGCCUCAGGCGUGGAUGUGUGUGAUGUCCUUAGGUUAGUUAGGCUUAAGUAGUUCUAAUUGUAGGGGUCUGAUGACCUCAGAUGUCAAGUCCCAUAAUGCUUAGAGCCAUUUGAACCUUUUUGAACAUGCAGUUAGCAAUUCAUUGUGAAGUAAAUUUGCAGAUUUGUUCCACAAACUUGAACCAUUUAGUUACGUAAAACGCUUCAGUAAGGUCACAAAAUAUACCAGCAGGAUUAUUUUGGUUGUUUUUAGUUCUGCUAGGUUUUCAUUCAUAAGGAUAUAUGGUGGCUGCUACAUGUGAAACUCAAAAGUAUUUAGCAAAUUUUGUUUGAGUUAAGGACUGAUUAUGAAUACGGCUCAAGGUUAAUUGUAUCAUCCUUUCACAAGAUUUUACUAAUCUGCUAGAAACACUGUCAUGGAAAAAUAUUGCUGCUUUUAGCAACUUGAUGGUAAUUUUAAUUCCCUUUGGUCUUGCAUAUUUGAUAUUAACGAUGUUUGGUGAUGUAAAAAGUAUUGAAUUAUCAAUUUCACGGCUGAAAUGCCACAAUUAUUAAAAUAUUUCUGGCUAUUAUUCUGUGGUUUUUCCUGAUUUCUUUGAUGACUUGUGGCAUAUAAGUUCUUGUAUUCCAUUUGGAACUAAUUAAAGAAUGGAAACUCCAGGUAGGAAUAUCAACAAUUCAGGAAAAGGUAGAUUGCUACUCACUGUAAAGGAGACACGUUAAGUUGCAGACAGGCAUAAUUAAUAUGCAAGUUAAUGUGUCUUCUUUAUGGUAAGUAGCAAUUUGUUUUUUUCUGCAGCAUUAAUUGUUUGUAGAAUGCAAAGGUUACAAUAUUUACACUGUAACCAAAGGAGUAAGCGACCGUUUUCUUCAAAGUGAAAGUGCUUUGCAAACAAACAACUUCUGUUUCUUUGGGUUCUUCUUGGAAC